rnacentral:rRNA from 1 species
GUUGUAUGGUUAAGUGACUAAGCGUACACGGUGGAUGCCUUGGCAGUCAGAGGCGAUGAAAGACGUAGUAACUUGCGAUAAGCCCAGAUUAGGUAGUAACAACCAUUUGAGUCUGGGAUUUCUGAAUGGGGAAACCCACGUGCAUAAGCACGUAUCCUUACCUGAAUACAUAGGGUAAGGAGGCGAACCGGGGGAACUGAAACAUCUAAGUACCCCGAGGAAAAGAAAUCAACCGAGAUUCCGAAAGUAGCGGCGAGCGAAAUUGGACUAGCCCUUAAGCUUUACACGCGUUAGACGAACGGUCUGGAAAGUCCGACGAUACAGGGUGAUAGUCCCGUAGUUGACGACGUGUGUUCAGUGAAAUCGAGUAGGGCGGGACACGUGAUAUCCUGUCUGAAUAUGGGGGGACCAUCCUCCAAGGCUAAAUACUACUGACUGACCGAUAGUGAACCAGUACCGUGAGGGAAAGGCGAAAAGAACCCCUGUGAGGGGAGUGAAAUAGAACCUGAAACCGUGUACGUACAAGCAGUAGGAGCAGGCUUUGUCCUGUGACUGCGUACCUUUUGUAUAAUGGGUCAGCGACUUAUAUUCAGUGGCAAGGUUAACCAUCUAGGGGAGCCGUAGGGAAACCGAGUCUUAACUGGGCGUUCAGUCUCUGGAUAUAGACCCGAAACCAGGUGAUCUAGCCAUGGGCAGGUUGAAGGUUGAGUAACAUCAACUGGAGGACCGAACCGACUAAUGUUGAAAAAUUAGCGGAUGACUUGUGGCUAGGGGUGAAAGGCCAAUCAAACCUGGAGAUAGCUGGUUCUCCCCGAAAGCUAUUUAGGUAGCGCCUCGGACGAAUACUACUGGGGGUAGAGCACUGUUAAGGCUAGGGGGUCAUCCCGACUUACCAACCCUUUGCAAACUCCGAAUACCAGUAAGUACUAUCCGGGAGACACACGGCGGGUGCUAACGUCCGUCGUGGAGAGGGAAACAACCCAGACCGCCAGCUAAGGUCCCAAAUUACUACUAAGUGGGAAACGAUGUGGGAAGGCUCAGACAGCCAGGAUGUUGGCUUAGAAGCAGCCAUCAUUUAAAGAAAGCGUAAUAGCUCACUGGUCGAGUCGGCCUGCGCGGAAGAUGUAACGGGGCUAAGUAGUAAACCGAAGCUGCGGCAAUGUGCUUUUGCACAUUGGGUAGGGGAGCGUUCUGUAAGCGGUUGAAGGUGUGUGGUAACGCAUGCUGGACGUAUCAGAAGUGCGAAUGCUGACAUGAGUAACGAUAAAGGGGGUGAAAAACCUCCUCGCCGGAAGACCAAGGGUUCCUGUCCAACGUUAAUCGGGGCAGGGUAAGUCGACCCCUAAGGCGAGGCCGAAAGGCGUAGUCGAUGGGAAACGGGUUAAUAUUCCCGUACUUCUUACAAUUGCGAUGGGGGGACGGAGAAGGCUAGGUGGGCCUGGCGACGGUUGUCCAGGUUCAAGUGCGUAGGCUUAAGAGUUAGGUAAAUCCGGCUCUUUUUAAGGCUGAGACACGACGUCGAGCACCUACGGGUGUGAAGUCAUUGAUGCCAUGCUUCCAGGAAAAGCCUCUAAGCUUCAGAUUGUAAGGAAUCGUACCCCAAACCGACACAGGUGGUCGGGUAGAGAAUACCAAGGCGCUUGAGAGAACUCGGGUGAAGGAACUAGGCAAAAUGGUACCGUAACUUCGGGAGAAGGUACGCUCUUGAUGGUGAAGUCCCUCGCGGAUGGAGCUGACGAGAGUCGCAGAUACCAGGUGGCUGCAACUGUUUAUUAAAAACACAGCACUGUGCAAAAUCGUAAGAUGACGUAUACGGUGUGACGCCUGCCCGGUGCCGGAAGGUUAAUUGAUGGGGUUAGACUUCGGUCGAAGCUCUUGAUCGAAGCCCCGGUAAACGGCGGCCGUAACUAUAACGGUCCUAAGGUAGCGAAAUUCCUUGUCGGGUAAGUUCCGACCUGCACGAAUGGCGUAAUGAUGGCCACGCUGUCUCCACCCGAGACUCAGUGAAAUUGAAAUCGCUGUGAAGAUGCAGUGUACCCGCGGCUAGACGGAAAGACCCCGUGAACCUUUACUACAGCUUGGCACUGAACAUUGACCCUACAUGUGUAGGAUAGGUGGGAGGCUUUGAAGCACGUACGCCAGUAUGUGUGGAGCCGUCCUUGAAAUACCACCCUUGUAGUGUUGAUGUUCUAACGUCGACCCCUAAUCGGGGUUGCGGACAGUGCCUGGUGGGUAGUUUGACUGGGGCGGUCUCCUCCCAAAGAGUAACGGAGGAGCACGAAGGUGGGCUAAUCACGGUUGGACAUCGUGAGGUUAGUGCAAUGGCAUAAGCCCGCUUGACUGCGAGAAUGACAAUUCGAGCAGGUGCGAAAGCAGGUCAUAGUGAUCCGGUGGUUCUGAAUGGAAGGGCCAUCGCUCAACGGAUAAAAGGUACUCCGGGGAUAACAGGCUGAUACCGCCCAAGAGUUCAUAUCGACGGCGGUGUUUGGCACCUCGAUGUCGGCUCAUCACAUCCUGGGGCUGAAGUCGGUCCCAAGGGUAUGGCUGUUCGCCAUUUAAAGUGGUACGCGAGCUGGGUUUAGAACGUCGUGAGACAGUUCGGUCCCUAUCUGCCGUGGGCGUUGGAAGAUUGAAGGGGGCUGCUCCUAGUACGAGAGGACCGGAGUGGACGAACCUCUGGUGUUCGGGUUGUGUCGCCAGACGCAUUGCCCGGUAGCUAAGUUCGGAAUCGAUAACCGCUGAAAGCAUCUAAGCGGGAAGCGAGCCCUGAGAUGAGUCUUCCCUGAUACUUUAAGUAUCCUAAAGGGUUGUCGGAGACUACGACGUUGAUAGGUCAGGUGUGUAAGUGCUGUGAGGCAUUGAGCUAACUGAUACUAAUUGCCCGUGAGGCUUAACCAUACAACACCCAAGGGGUUU